rnacentral:lncRNA from 1 species
AGCUGUAUGGACCCUCACUCCUCAUCACACAAACCAACAACAGUCACACCACUCUGUCCUGUUCUGCUACUGGACAACCUACUCCUAUAGUAACCUGGGACAACACAGAAAUUCUAGAAAAUUCCACAAUGGUCAAUGUCACCCAUCUCAAUGGUACUGUCACAGUCAUCAUAACUUUCACGCUGGCAGCAUUCAGUCUACCUGACAAAGACACCAGGGUUCUCUGUGUGGUGUCACUGUUCUCUGGAGGUGUCACCAAGAACGUAUCCAUGGUUAUUCCAGCUAGAACUCAAGCUUCAUUUCCUGUUAAGCCAACAGUAAUUGUUUCAGUGAUGGGUUCACUGUGUUUCAUUGCUGUGUGCUGUGGAGCUGUGGUACUGUGGUGCAAACUGAGAAAUACAAUGAGAAGAAACUGCUGAGCAUGGUGUUGGUUGAACCGGAGUGGUACUACAAGUCUGAGGCAGAGUUACUGCACAAUGUCUUCUCUGGAGCUCAGCUUACCUACUUAUCUGUAUGUAAAUAUACAUCUGUCUGUCUGUCUGUCAGGCUCUCUGUCUCUGUCUCUCUGUCUGUACUUUUAGUUUCAAGUUAAGCUUCUACAAGUUGAGCAUAGGCUUUGACAUCAAGCUGGUUUUAUAGAAAAUAGACAAACUCAAGAUAACAUCUGAAGAACCCUCCAUAUCAUGACAAUGUAGCCAAUGAAAAUACAGUGACAUUGAAGCGCCUCCACAUGGAAGAAAAAUUUGACUCUGAAACUGGAACUUCCCCUAUAGAAAGAAUUUGACUUCAACAACAAAUCAAGGAGGAUGAUUCAAACACUUUAUUCAUAGAAAAUACAAGGUUGUUAUCCUAUUCACUUUAUCAAGUUACUUUGUGUUUUUUUGCUGUUUACACAUUAGGGAAAAUAACAGAUAGGUAUCAU